UGGAAAGUUUUUCGGUCAGGGAUGGGCUCGCGGCCUAUCAGCUUGUUGGUGGGGUAACGGCCUACCAAGGCGAUUACGGGUAGCCGGCCUGAGAGGGCGACCGGCCACACUGGGACUGAGACACGGCCCAGACUCCUGCGGGAGGCAGCAGUGGGGAAUAUUGCGCAAUGGGCGAAAGCCUGACGCAGCGACGCCGCGUGGGGGAUGACGGCCUUCGGGUUGUAAACCUCUUUUACCACCAACGCAGGCUCGAAGUUCUCUUCGGGUUGACGGUAGGUGGGGAAUAAGGACCGGCUAACUACGUGCCAGCAGCCGCGGUAAUACGUAGGGUCCGAGCGUUGUCCGGAAUUAUUGGGCGUAAAGAGCUCGUAGGCGGCGUGUCGCGUCUGCUGUGAAAGACCGGGGCUUAACUCCGGUUCUGCAGUGGAUACGGGCAUGCUAGAGGUAGGUAGGGGAGACUGGAAUUCCUGGUGUAGCGGUGAAAUGCGCAGAUAUCAGGAGGAACACCGGUGGCGAAGGCGGGUCUCUGGGCCUUACCUGACGCUGAGGAGCGAAAGCAUGGGGAGCGAACAGGAUUAGAUACCCUGGUAGUCCAUGCCGUAAACGUUGGGCGCUAGGUGUGGGGACUUUCCACGGUUUCCGCGCCGUAGCUAACGCAUUAAGCGCCCCGCCUGGGGAGUACGGCCGCAAGGCUAAAACUCAAAGGAAUUGACGGGGGCCCGCACAAGCGGCGGAGCAUGUUGCUUAAUUCGACGCAACGCGAAGAACCUUACCAAGGUUUGACAUCACCCGUGGACUCGCAGAGAUGUGAGGUCAUUUAGUUGGCGGGUGACAGGUGGUGCAUGGCUGUCGUCAGCUCGUGUCGUGAGAUGUUGGGUUAAGUCCCGCAACGAGCGCAACCCUUGUUCCAUGUUGCCAGCACGUAAUGGUGGGGACUCAUGGGAGACUGCCGGGGUCAACUCGGAGGAAGGUGGGGAUGACGUCAAGUCAUCAUGCCCCUUAUGUCUUGGGCUGCAAACAUGCUACAAUGGCCGGUACAAUGGGCGUGCGAUACCGUAAGGUGGAGCGAAUCCCUAAAAGCCGGUCUCAGUUCGGAUUGGGGUCUGCAACUCGACCCCAUGAAGGUGGAGUCGCUAGUAAUCGCGGAUCAGCAACGCCGCGGUGAAUACGUUCCCGGGCCUUGUACACACCGCCCGUCACGUCAUGAAAGUCGGCAACACCCGAAACUUGCGGCCUAACCCCUUGUGGGAGGGAGUGA
rnacentral:rRNA from 1 species